rnacentral:rRNA from 1 species
ACGUAUCCAACCUGCCCUUUACUCGGGGAUAGCCUUUCGAAAGAAAGAUUAAUACCCGAUGGCAUAAUGAUUCCGCAUGGUUUCAUUAUUAAAGGAUUCCGGUAAAGGAUGGGGAUGCGUUCCAUUAGGUUGUUGGUGAGGUAACGGCUCACCAAGCCUUCGAUGGAUAGGGGUUCUGAGAGGAAGGUCCCCCACAUUGGAACUGAGACACGGUCCAAACUCCUACGGGAGGCAGCAGUGAGGAAUAUUGGUCAAUGGGCGCUAGCCUGAACCAGCCAAGUAGCGUGAAGGAUGAAGGCUCUAUGGGUCGUAAACUUCUUUUAUAUAAGAAUAAAGUGCAGUAUGUAUACUGUUUUGUAUGUAUUAUAUGAAUAAGGAUCGGCUAACUCCGUGCCAGCAGCCGCGGUAAUACGGAGGAUCCGAGCGUUAUCCGGAUUUAUUGGGUUUAAAGGGAGCGUAGGUGGACUGGUAAGUCAGUUGUGAAAGUUUGCGGCUCAACCGUAAAAUUGCAGUUGAUACUGUCAGUCUUGAGUACAGUAGAGGUGGGCGGAAUUCGUGGUGUAGCGGUGAAAUGCUUAGAUAUCACGAAGAACUCCGAUUGCGAAGGCAGCUCACUGGACUGCAACUGACACUGAUGCUCGAAAGUGUGGGUAUCAAACAGGAUUAGAUACCCUGGUAGUCCACACAGUAAACGAUGAAUACUCGCUGUUUGCGAUAUACAGUAAGCGGCCAAGCGAAAGCAUUAAGUAUUCCACCUGGGGAGUACGCCGGCAACGGUGAAACUCAAAGGAAUUGACGGGGGGCCCGCACAAGCGGAGGAACAUGUGGGUUUAAUUCGAUGAUACGCGAGGAACCCUUACCCGGGCUUUAAAUUGCAGUGGAAUGAUGUGGAAAACAUGUCAGUGAGCAAUCACCGCUGUGAGUGCUGCAUGGUUGUCGUC